GGGUUGUGAGGUUAAGCGACUAAGCGUACACGGUGGAUGCCCUGGCAGUCAGAGGCGAUGAAGGGCGUGCUAAUCUGCGAUAAGCGCCGGUAAGGUGAUAUGAACCGUUAUAACCGGCGAUACCCGAAUGGGGAAACCCAGUGUGACUCGUCACACUAUCAUUAACUGAAUCCAUAGGUUAAUGAGGCGAACCGGGGGAACUGAAACAUCUAAGUACCCCGAGGAAAAGAAAUCAACCGAGAUUCCCCCAGUAGCGGCGAGCGAACGGGGAGGAGCCCAGAGCCUGAAUCAGCAUGUGUGUUAGUGGAAGCGUCUGGAAAGGCGCGCGAUACAGGGUGACAGCCCCGUACACAAAAGCGCAUGUGCUGUGAGCUCGAUGAGUAGGGCGGGACACGUGGUAUCCUGUCUGAAUAUGGGGGGACCAUCCUCCAAGGCUAAAUACUCCUGACUGACCGAUAGUGAACCAGUACCGUGAGGGAAAGGCGAAAAGAACCCCGGCGAGGGGAGUGAAAAAGAACCUGAAACCGUGUACGUACAAGCAGUGGGAGCCCCACCACCAAAGCAUUCUCUGGUGUUGAAGGCCCUGCAAAGCAGCAUCGCGGUGGCGGAGCGUCGUUUGCGACGCCCAACACACAAAACAAGCGGUGAGUGCUUUGGGGUGGGGUGACUGCGUACCUUUUGUAUAAUGGGUCAGCGACUUAUAUUCUGUAGCAAGGUUAACCGAAUAGGGGAGCCGGAGGGAAACCGAGUCUUAAUUGGGCGUUAAGUUGCAGGGUAUAGACCCGAAACCCGGUGAUCUAGCCAUGGGCAGGUUGAAGGUUGGGUAACACUAACUGGAGGACCGAACCGACUAAUGUUGAAAAAUUAGCGGAUGACCUGUGGCUGGGGGUGAAAGGCCAAUCAAACCGGGAGAUAGCUGGUUCUCCCCGAAAGCUAUUUAGGUAGCGCCUCGUGAAUUCAUCUCCGGGGGUAGAGCACUGUUUCGGCUAGGGGGCCAUCCCGGCUUACCAACCCGAUGCAAACUGCGAAUACCGGAGAAUGUUAUCACGGGAGACACACGGCGGGUGCUAACGUCCGUCGUGAAGAGGGAAACAACCCAGACCGCCAGCUAAGGUCCCAAAGUCAUGGUUAAGUGGGAAACGAUGUGGGAAGGCCCAGACAGCCAGGAUGUUGGCUUAGAAGCAGCCAUCAUUUAAAGAAAGCGUAAUAGCUCACUGGUCGAGUCGGCCUGCGCGGAAGAUGUAACGGGGCUAAACCAUGCACCGAAGCUGCGGCAGCGAACGUAUCACUUAAAGCGAUUCAGCGGGUUACGAUUGACGGAGCGAAGCGACGUCAAAGCGUAUACAAAGUCGAGUCGGUUUAAGGAUACGUUCGUUGGGUAGGGGAGCGUUCUGUAAGCCUGCGAAGGUGGCCUGUGAGGGUUGCUGGAGGUAUCAGAAGUGCGAAUGCUGACAUAAGUAACGAUAAAGCGGGUGAAAAGCCCGCUCGCCGGAAGACCAAGGGUUCCUGUCCAACGUUAAUCGGGGCAGGGUGAGUCGACCCCUAAGGCGAGGCCGAAAGGCGUAGUCGAUGGGAAACGGGUUAAUAUUCCCGUACUUGGUGUUACUGCGAAGGGGGGACGGAGAAGGCUAUGUUGGCCGGGCGACGGUUGUCCCGGUUUAAGCGUGUAGGUGUGUGUUCCAGGUAAAUCCGGUUCACUUUAACACUGAGGCGUGAUGACGAGGCACUACGGUGCUGAAGCAACAAAUGCCCUGCUUCCAGGAAAAGCCUCUAAGCAUCAGGUAACAUCAAAUCGUACCCCAAACCGACACAGGUGGUCAGGUAGAGAAUACCAAGGCGCUUGAGAGAACUCGGGUGAAGGAACUAGGCAAAAUGGUGCCGUAACUUCGGGAGAAGGCACGCUGACACGUAGGUGAAGUGAUUUACUCAUGGAGCUGAAGUCAGUCGAAGAUACCAGCUGGCUGCAACUGUUUAUUAAAAACACAGCACUGUGCAAACACGAAAGUGGACGUAUACGGUGUGACGCCUGCCCGGUGCCGGAAGGUUAAUUGAUGGGGUCAGCGCAAGCGAAGCUCCUGAUCGAAGCCCCGGUAAACGGCGGCCGUAACUAUAACGGUCCUAAGGUAGCGAAAUUCCUUGUCGGGUAAGUUCCGACCUGCACGAAUGGCGUAAUGAUGGCCAGGCUGUCUCCACCCGAGACUCAGUGAAAUUGAACUCGCUGUGAAGAUGCAGUGUACCCGCGGCAAGACGGAAAGACCCCGUGAACCUUUACUAUAGCUUGACACUGAACAUUGAGCCUUGAUGUGUAGGAUAGGUGGGAGGCUUUGAAGUGUGGACGCCAGUCUGCAUGGAGCCGACCUUGAAAUACCACCCUUUAAUGUUUGAUGUUCUAACGUGGACCCGUGAUCCGGGUUGCGGACAGUGUCUGGUGGGUAGUUUGACUGGGGCGGUCUCCUCCUAAAGAGUAACGGAGGAGCACGAAGGUUGGCUAAUCCUGGUCGGACAUCAGGAGGUUAGUGCAAUGGCAUAAGCCAGCUUGACUGCGAGCGUGACGGCGCGAGCAGGUGCGAAAGCAGGUCAUAGUGAUCCGGUGGUUCUGAAUGGAAGGGCCAUCGCUCAACGGAUAAAAGGUACUCCGGGGAUAACAGGCUGAUACCGCCCAAGAGUUCAUAUCGACGGCGGUGUUUGGCACCUCGAUGUCGGCUCAUCACAUCCUGGGGCUGAAGUAGGUCCCAAGGGUAUGGCUGUUCGCCAUUUAAAGUGGUACGCGAGCUGGGUUUAGAACGUCGUGAGACAGUUCGGUCCCUAUCUGCCGUGGGCGCUGGAGAACUGAGGGGGGCUGCUCCUAGUACGAGAGGACCGGAGUGGACGCAUCACUGGUGUUCGGGUUGUCAUGCCAAUGGCACUGCCCGGUAGCUAAAUGCGGAAGAGAUAAGUGCUGAAAGCAUCUAAGCACGAAACUUGCCCCGAGAUGAGUUCUCCCUGAGACUUAGAGUCUCCUGAAGGAACGUUGAAGACGACGACGUUGAUAGGCCGGGUGUGUAAGCGCAGCGAUGCGUUGAGCUAACCGGUACUAAUGAACCGUGAGGCUUAACCUUACAACGCCGAAG
rnacentral:rRNA from 1 species